UUUCGGUCAGCCCACAAGGGCUGAUAAUAGGGAACCGGGUGCAAAUCCCGGGCAGUCCCGCUGCUGUGAGCCUCAACAAGUUAGGCGCUCCACGAGCCACUGCACGCUGUCAUAGGCGUGUGGGAAGGCGGAGCGCCGGAGGCAAGCCAGAAGACCUGCCGCGACC
rnacentral:ncRNA from 1 species